AGUCUCAAGUUGUUCUUUAGGGAGAAUCUGAACUAAGAUAUUUGUACCAGAAAUAGCCCUAGAAAACAGACCCUGGAAAUGUCUUCCUGGUGGUUGGCUAGUGGCUGCUGUAUGGUUUAACGGCACUGGUGACCCAGAGCACCCUGGCCAUGGAAAGAGCAAGGAGGUAGGUCAUCAACUAAAAGUUUGUAGCUUUUUGCCAGAUCGAAACUCUAGGAUAUUCCUCACAAAC
rnacentral:lncRNA from 1 species